CCCUUUUGGUAAGCACAUAGGGUGCCCCAAUCAGAUAAGGCAAAUUGAGUGAGUGCCUCAUGUAAUAUAGAGCAGGUAGAUGGGGCACCAAAUGUUGGUGGCCCCAUAGGAUUUCUUUACACAAGAGAGGAGGUAUAGCUCCUGAAAGGAAUACGCCCUACAAGCCAAUUAAAAUUUAUAUUUUGAUAGUUUUUUUUGUAAUCUUCCAG
rnacentral:lncRNA from 1 species